AUGCAUCACGAUGUUGUGCUCAAGCCAAAAUCAGAGUUGCAAAUUUUUAUCCUUUGGGUUUCUCGUGAAAUCAAAUUCCUUCUCUUCUCUUUCACACAGCGACGAUCGUUCUUCACUUCGUGGAAAGCAAUCGUUGAUUUCCUUCUUAAACUGCCAUGGCCAUACAAUUCAUCCUCAUUUGACUUCGGCUCUGCACACUCCAUCAAUGACUCCCUGUCUGUUUCAUCAAAGUCUGAUUCCCCUUCUUCUCCGACGAGCGUCACUCUCAAUGACUCAGUCUCUUUCGCUCGCGAUCUCUACUUCAGUUCAGUUUUCCUUCUUAAUUUCGUGUUCGGUUGA